UCCGCAGGCGGUCUUGUGUGUCGGAUGUGAAAGCCCACGGCUCAACCGUGGAAUUGCAUUCGAAACUGCAGGACUAGAGUACUGGAGGGGAGAAGGGAACACUUGGUGUAGCGGUGAAAUGCGUAGAUAUCAAGUGGAACACCGGCGGCGAAGGCGCUUCUCUGGACAGAUACUGACGCUCAUGGACGAAAGUUAGGGUAGCGAAAG
rnacentral:rRNA from 1 species